rnacentral:tRNA from 1 species
GGGCUCGUGGCUCAGUAGUGGAGCGCCUGCUUUGCAAGCAGGAGGCCGCGGGUGCGAUUCCCGCCGAGUCCA